CCCUUAGAUGUUCUGGGCUGCACGCGCGCUACACUGAAGCGUUCAACGAGUAUUCACCUUGCCCGGGAGGGUUGGGUAAUCUUUUGAAAACGCUUCGUGAUGGGGAUAGAUUAUUGCAAUUAUUAAUCUUCAACGAGGAAUUCCUAGUAAGCGCGAGUCAUCAGCUCGUGCUGAUUACGUCCUGCCCUUUGUACACACCACCCGUCGCUCCUACCGAUUGAGUGAUCCGGUGAAUAAUUCGGACUGCAGCACUGCUUGGUCUCCAGGCUUUGCAGCGGAAAGUUUAGUGAACCUUAUCGCUUAGAGGAAGGAGAAGUCGUAACA
rnacentral:rRNA from 1 species